GGCUUUGGCUCAGUGGUAGAGCACAUGCUUAGCAUGCAUGAGGUCCUGGGUUCAAUCCCCGGUACCGCCA
rnacentral:tRNA from 1 species